rnacentral:rRNA from 1 species
CCUAUUAGUAGAGAAGCGUGUGAGCCAGCUGCCAAGAAAAGCCGCUAUUGCUUCAUAAGUACCCGUACCGUAAACCGACACAGGUGGAUGAGGAGAGAAUCCUAAGGCCGGCGGGAGAAGUGUUGUUAAGGAACUCGGCAAAAUGACUCCGUAACUUCGGGAGAAGGAGUGCCACAGAGAUGUGGCCGCAGAGAAAUGGCCCAAGCAACUGUUUAGCAAAAACACAGGUCUAUGCAAAACCGAAAGGUGAGGUAUAUGGGCUGACGCCUGCCCGGUGCUGGAAGGUUAAGAGGAGAGGUUAGAGCAAUCGAAGCUUUGAAUUUAAGCCCCAGUAAACGGCGGCCGUAACAAUAACGGUCCUAAGGUAGCGAAAUUCCUUGUCGGGUAAGUUCCGGCCCGCACGAAAGGCGUAAUGAUUUGGGCACUGUCUCAACAACACACCCGGUGAAAUUGAAAUACCAGUGAAGAUGCUGGUUACCUGCGCCAGGACGGAAAGACCCCAUGGAGCUUUACUCCAGUUUGAUACUGGGAUUCGAUACUGUCUGUACAGGAUAGGUGGGAGGCUAGGAAAUGGUGACGCCAGUUGCCACGGAGCCAACCUUGGGAUACCACCCUUACAGUACUGGGUUUCUAACCUGCAGCCGUGACCCGGCUGGGGGACAAUGUCUGACGGGGAGUUUGACUGGGGCGGUCGCCUCCGAAAGAGUAUCGGAGGCGCUCAAAGGUUCCCUCAGAACGGUUGGAAACCGUUCGAAGAGUGCAAAGGCAGAAGGGAGCUUGACUGCGACACCGACGGGUGGAGCAGAUACGAAAGUAGGACUUAGUGAUCCGGUGGUAUAAAGUGGGAUUGCCAUCGCUCAACGGAUAAAAGCUACCCUGGGAUAACAGGCUUAUCACUCCCAAGAGUUCACAUCGACGGAGUGGUUUGGCACCUCGAUGUCGGCUCAUCGCAUCCUGGAGCUGUAGCAGGUUCCAAGGGUUGGGCUGUUCGCCCAUUAAAGCGGUACGCGAGCUGGGUUCAGAACGUCGUGAGACAGUUCGGUCCCUAUCCGGCGUGGGCGUAGGAUAUUUGAGAGGAGCUGUCCUUAGUACGAGAGGACCGGGAUGGACAAACCUCUGGUGUAUCUGUUGUUUUACCAAAGGCAUGGCAGAGUAGCCAAGUUUGGCAGGGAUAAACGCUGAAGGCAUCUAAGCGUGAAGCCCCCCUCAAGAUAAGAUAUCCCAUCUUCGGAGUAAGGCCUCUUGAAGACUACAAGGUUGAUAGGCUUCAGGUGUAAGUGUGGUAACGCACUCAGCUGAGAAGUACUAAUAGGUCGAGGACUUAUGAAG